UACGUAGGGUGCAAGCGUUAAUCGGAAUUACUGGGCGUAAAGCGUGCGCAGGCGGUUGUGUAAGUCAGAUGUGAAAUCCCCGGGCUCAACCUGGGAAUGGCAUUUGAGACUGCACAGCUAGAGUGUGUCAGAGGGGGGGUAGAAUUCCACGUGUAGCAGUGAAAUGCGUAGAGAUGUGGAGGAAUACCGAUGGCGAAGGCAGCCCCCUGGGAUAACACUGACGCUCAUGCACGAAAGCGUGGGGAGCAAACAGG
rnacentral:rRNA from 1 species